rnacentral:rRNA from 1 species
GAUGAACGCUGGCGGCGUGCCUAAUACAUGCAAGUCGAGCGAACAGAUGAGGAGCUUGCUCCUCUGACGUUAGCGGCAGACGGGUGAGUAACACGUGGAUAACCUACCUAUAAGACUGGGAUCACUUCGGAAAACGGGAGCUAAUACCGGAUAAUCUCUUGAACCGCAUGGUUCAAUAGUGAAAUACGGUUUUGCUGUCACUUCUCGAUGGAUCCCGGCCGCUUUAGCUAGUUGGUAAGGUAACGGCUUACCACGGCGAGUAUGCGUAUCCGACCUGAGGGGGGGGUAGCCCACACGAGAACGGAGACAGGGACCAGAGUCCUACGAGAGGGAGCAGUAGGGAAUCGGCCGCAAUGGGCGAAAGCCUGACGGAGUAACGGCGCGUGAGAGAUGAAGGUGUUCGGUGCGGAAAACUCGGUUAUUAGGGAAGAACAAAUGUGUAAGGAAAUAUGCACGUCGUGACGGUAACUAAUCAGAAAGCCACGGCUAACUACGUG